rnacentral:lncRNA from 1 species
UUAAGGUUACUCCUAAGCUUUGAAGUACGGAGUUUACCGUGUGUGAUUCACUUGAAGCUUUUAAGCAAAAGUGAAGUAGUGUCUUGGUAAGUUGUUGUCACAUCNNNNNAUUAGUGGAUUUCCUUCCUGGAUUGGUAUCCCCCAGAGUAGGCAGUUGGCUGAACUGGGUUAACAAUUACUUGUGCAAUUUAUUUAUUUUCUGUCAGUAUUUUAUAUGUUAUAUAAGAUGUGCCAACAAUAAAAACAACAUUAUUCAUAAAGAAGUUGUUGGGACAUCUUGGGUAACAUCACUUUAGUGAUACCAGAAU